UACAGAGGUGGCAAGCGUUGUUCGGAAUUACUGGGCGUAAAGGGCGCGCAGGCGGUUUGUUAAGUCCCGUGUGAAAUCCCUCGGCUCAACUGAGGAACCGCACGGGAAACUGGCAAGCUUGAGUUCGGGAGAGGGAAGUGGAAUUCCGGGUGUAGCGGUGAAAUGCGUAGAUAUCCGGAGGAACACCGGUGGCGAAGGCGGCUUCCUGGACCGACACUGACGCUGAGGCGCGAAAGCUAGGGGAGCAAACGGG
rnacentral:rRNA from 1 species